AUGAAGAACAUAUUUCAAACCUUGCUGGUGUCUGGUACAUAAUUUGAGAAACGCAAACUGUGUGGGAGGCCAUUUUCUAAGCAUGUUGCGGAGCUCAAGAAGCUGUCAGACGCCUGAUGGGUUUGGUGUGAGAGAGCACUGAAGACUCCUCAGAGUAUUCUGAAAGCUGUUUGGAAGAUCCUUGAUGACAUCAAUGAAAGCAAUCCACCUAAGAUGGCCCAAGGGGAUGCAAAGAUGUAUAGAAAUGUAAUCAACUUCAUAUUUAUUCUCUGAUUGGAAAUGACCAUCCCAGUCUUCCACAUCACUGUUCUAGCAUUAGAUUCUUUGCAGGAAGAAAGCUUGGACCAUCCACUACCUACCAGGAAGACAUCCAGAUAAACCAUAGCGAGGUCAUCAGAAUCUUCCAAGAUAAGGCACAGAGGAGGAUGCUCCGGUAAUGCAGGAGAACGAUCUUACUCCCUUCACCAGAUGGUCUGCCUGUUAUCUGUCUGUCCUCCUGUGCUCUCAACCUUGAUGAUUUUCGUUGUGUUCUAGGGUCUCUCUCUCCCUCCCUCCCUCCUGGGCCCAUCUCUCUCUUUCCUGGGCUCAGCAUUGAGCAUAAUACCCAUUUAAAAAUAUAGUUAUUGCUUGUCUCUUCUCCUUUGUUGCAUUCAGUCUCUCUCACUGUGCUUCACACCACAGACAUGUCUCUCUUGCAUUUUGCUAUGUCUAGUGUCUGUUCAUUUUCUUCUGUCUCCCUUGGGGUCCCUCAUUUCAACUUUCCCCCCAG